rnacentral:tRNA from 7 species
GGGGGUAUAGCUCAUUUGGUAGAGCGCCUGCUUUGCAAGCAGGAUGUGAAGGGUUCGAUUCCCUUUACCUCCA